UACAGAGACUGCAAGCGUUAUUCGGAUUCACUGGGCGUAAAGGGUGCGCAGGCGGCCAGGUGUGUUAGGCGUGAAAGCCCGGGGCUUAACCCCGGAAUUGCACCUAAAACUACUUGGCUAGAGCAUUGGAGAGGGUAGCGGAAUUCACGUUGUAGCAGUGAAAUGCGUAGAUAUCGUGAGGAACACCAGAGGCGAAGGCGGCUACCUGGACAAUUGCUGACGCUCAGGCACGAAAGCGUGGGGAGCAAAAGGG
rnacentral:rRNA from 1 species